rnacentral:rRNA from 1 species
GAUGAACGCUGGCGGCGUGCUUAACACAUGCAAGUCGAACGAAGCACUUUAUUUGAUUUCCUUCGGGACUGAUUAUUUUGUGACUGAGUGGCGGACGGGUGAGUAACGCGUGGGUAACCUGCCUUGUACAGGGGGAUAACAGUUGGAAACGGCUGCUAAUACCGCAUAAGCCCCCAGCAUCGCAUGAUGCAGUGUGAAAAACUCCGGUGGUAUAAGAUGGACCCGCGUUGGAUUAGCUAGUUGGUGAGGUAACGGCCCACCAAGGCGACGAUCCAUAGCCGACCUGAGAGGGUGACCGGCCACAUUGGGACUGAGACACGGCCCAAACUCCUACGGGAGGCAGCAGUGGGGAAUAUUGCACAAUGGGCGAAAGCCUGAUGCAGCGACGCCGCGUGAGCGAAGAAGUAUUUCGGUAUGUAAAGCUCUAUCAGCAGGGAAGAUAAUGACGGUACCUGACUAAGAAGCACCGGCUAAAUACGUG